CUCAGAAAUAACUAUUCAUUCCCAUUCGUCACUGUCUUCAUGUCAACAGGCAGCGAUUACAUCAUAGAUGAGACUAACAUGACUUGGAGCGACUCAAAGACCAACUGUGAAAGACGUAAUUCAACUCUGGCCAAAAUCCUUGACAGGAAAACUAAUUCUAAAAUCCAGAAACUGCUGCCACAAGGUUCUGAAGUGUGGCUAGGCCUCAAAAAGCCUAUUCUGUGGUACUGGACCACAACUAAUGAAAUCCCUACAUUCAUAAACUGGCAGCCCGGACAACCUGACAUGCAGACUGACGCAAUUAAAUGUGUAGCCAUGGAUCUGAAGGAUGGAACCUGGACAGAUGAGUUCUGCAAUUUGAUGUAUCCUUUCUUCUGCCAUGGAAGUAUGAAUGAGUGAAAUCAGACGUACUGAAGAUUCUGUGCUUCUUCCUUUUUGUUCUGCUAAACAAAGGUUGCUCACGCUAACUACAGAUCAGGGAAAGGUCGACACACUUGAAGGCUCCAAAUAACUAAUUUAAUUUAUGUUGACAGCAUUCUCCUCAAAAACAACAUUUCGAUGGAUAAGAUCUUCCUCAGGAAGUACUACAGAGAAAAAGAGGUGUUCACCUGUGGUUUCUGGAGUGCUGUGCAGGCCAUCUUGUGGCGUUAUGUUUGUUUCUUGUUAUGUGCUGACCAGCAGGUGAUAAUUAUUACCCGCCUCUCUCUCUCUCUUUGAGGAAGAUUUUUUUAGAUCCUAUUUAGAGCCUAAAAUUGUGCAGACAUUUUUCUGACCUAUAGAUACAUUUUUUGUCUUUCACAUUUAAAGUGUUAGGUUGAAUGUGUCCACAACUCAUGCUAAAUAUCAAUCGCUGAAACAUACGGCUGGCCCAAAUUAUGGCUGCAAUUAGUUUCUUUAUCAGUUAAUCUGCACACUGUUUUCUUAUUUAGUUUACAUAGCAAAUAGCUAGAAACCAGGGGAAACUGAUGCAAUCCUGUAAACCUCAAAGUGACCAAUGAUCACAAAUCACAAGAUACUGAAUUUAUUUCCACAUAAGACUAUGACUGGCAGUAAAUCUUCACAGAUGACAAGCUGGAACUGACAAGUAUUUAGAUAUUCAAAAUUUCUAAAUUAUUUCAGUGAAAACUAGCUACUUGGUGGUUAGCACUGCAUUUAGUUUGCAUGUUCUCCCUGUGCAUGCGUGGGUUUUCUCCUCCCACAGUCCAAAAACAUGGUGUAGUUAACUGAUAAUUCUAAAAUUGCCCAUAGGUGUGGAUGCCAGCGUGCUUGUUUGUCUCUAUAUGUAGCCCUGUGAUAGACUGGUGACCUGUCCAGGGUGUCCCCCCAAUACUUUCUUUCUUUCUUUCUUUAAUAAAACAUCAUCAUGACCAUGCAUUUAUCAGAUUUCUUGUGAGUUUUAGUCUGAAAGGUUUACCCUUUUUUGUGAUCCUGUGUAGUUUAUAAAGCUCAGAAAACAGUGGUGAAGAUGAAGCUCCAGUCCACAGCAAACCUGGAAGAUCCAGUCAUCAGUGAUAACCUACAGAAGCAGGUACAGUGUGUGAGAGAGAAAACAAAAAUCAUGAACAAAUUUGACUCUUUGACUUCAUCUUUCUCCUUUAGUUGCAUGCAGCACUUGCUAAGCAGAGUGUGAGUGACUUCCAGCUGACCUGGAAGAAAGUGCCGGUGAAGCAGAAAGAGGAGAUGGCGAGUGAAGAUAACUGCUGACUCCGUGAGCACAAGAAAGCUGCACCACAGCAUUGUUUGUAGAAAUAUGCUUUACUAAAUGUCCAUCCAUCCAUCCAUCCAUUAUCUAUACACCGCUUAAUCCUCACUAGGGUCGCGGGGGGGGCUGGAGCCUGCUUUACUAAAUGUUGUUCAGUAAAUUUCUGUGUGAUUCUAUUUCGCUCCUUUAAGACUCAAAGCUUGUAUGGCACUGAACUGAAAGAAAUUCAGCCUCAGCAUAUAAAUGUUUUACUUAAUGUGUGAUUUGUGUGGACAAAGUUUGCAGCGUAUCUCAUUUAAAUAUUUAAUUAGUUUCCACAUAAUGGCAGAACGUUUGACACACUGUGAGUGACUUCCAGAUAAUAUUGUGUGAUACAAUGACUUAAGUUACACAGACAUAUUAUGUUCCAUUUAGUGUUUCCAUUAUUACUGUGUGCUGCUUUCAUUACUUCUAUUUUUUCAUCUUUGCUGUACAUCCUCAUAAUGUUGUAUUAUAAAUCAGUCAGUAACUACUUUAAAAAAGAAUAGUUUAAGGGUGCAUCUGGUAAUAUUCAAUAUUUUUCUUACUGUAAACAGAUCUCAUAAAAAGACUCUUCUGCUAACUGAACACGUACAGUCUGUGUCGUCAAAGCUUUACAUGUCUCAUUCAAAACUGUAAUCCACACUAAAUAUCCAAACUAUUUACAGAUAUUUUCUUCACUAUCAUUGUAGUUAUUCUAACUCUAUCUCAAAUACACUGUGCCGUAGCCUAAACACUUUCUAGAAAUGAAAUGUGUAUUAAUCCAUGGUUCAAAAUAGUACCCAACAGAUGCACCAUCUCUGUUUGAGUAACAUUUGCUAUUAAAAAAAUCACACUCAACAGCUGUUUCAGAAGAAUAAACCUAUGUAUCAGUAAAUGGCUUUCCCAUAUGUACAAAAUAAAAUUUUGUUUUUGCUGA